UCUGUCAGUGAGUGUGUGUGUCUGCCAGUGUGUGUCUGCCAGACACAUACUGGCAGACACACACUCACUGACAAACA